GAGUUUGAUCAUGGCUCAGGAUGAACGCUAGCGGGAGGCUUAACACAUGCAAGCCGAGGGGUAUAGUUAGCUUGCUAACUAGAGACCGGCACACGGGUGCGUAACGCGUAUGCAACUUGCCCUACUGAAAAGGAUAGCCCUUCGAAAGGAGGAUUAAUACUUUAUAACAGAUUUAAUGGCAUCAUUAGAUUUUGAAAGAUUUAUCGCAGUAGGAUAGGCAUGCGUAAGAUUAGUUAGUUGGUGAGGUAACGGCUCACCAAGACGAUGAUCUUUAGGGGGCCUGAGAGGGUGAACCCCCACACUGGUACUGAGACACGGACCAGACUCCUACGGGAGGCAGCAGUGAGGAAUAUUGGACAAUGGGUGGAAGCCUGAUCCAGCCAUCCCGCGUGUAGGAUGACGGCCUUAUGGGUUGUAAACUACUUUUAUCUGGGGAUAAACCUACUCACGUGUGAGUAGCUGAAGGUACCAGAAGAAUAAGCACCGGCUAACUCCGUGCCAGCAGCCGCGGUAAUACGGAGGGUGCAAGCGUUAUCCGGAUUUAUUGGGUUUAAAGGGUCCGUAGGCGGAUUAAUCAGUCAGUGGUGAAAUCUCAUAGCUUAACUAUGAAACUGCCAUUGAUACUGUUAGUCUUGAGUGAUGUUGAAGUUGCUGGAAUGUGUAGUGUAGCGGUGAAAUGCUUAGAUAUUACGCAGAACACCAAUUGCGAAGGCAGGUGACUAAACAUCAACUGACGCUGAUGGACGAAAGCGUGGGGAGCGAACAGGAUUAGAUACCCUGGUAGUCCACGCCGUAAACGAUGGAUACUUGCUGUUGGGUUUUCGGAUUCAGUGGCUAAGCGAAAGUUAUAAGUAUCCCACCUGGG
rnacentral:rRNA from 1 species